UGACCUCGGAUCAGGUAGGGAUACCCGCUGAACUUAAGCAUAUCAAUAAGCGGAGGAAAAGAAACCAACCGGGAUUGCCUCAGUAACGGCGAGUGAAGCGGCAAGAGCUCAAAUUUGAAAGCUGGCCCCUUCGGGGUCCGCGUUGUAAUUUGCAGAGGAUGCUUUGGGUGCGGCCCCCGUCUAAGUGCCCUGGAACGGGCCGUCAGAGAGGGUGAGAAUCCCGUCUUGGGCGGGGUGUCCGUGCCCGUGUAAAGCUCCUUCGACGAGUCGAGUUGUUUGGGAAUGCAGCUCUAAAUGGGUGGUAAAUUUCAUCUAAAGCUAAAUACUGGCCGGAGACCGAUAGCGCACAAGUAGAGUGAUCGAAAGAUGAAAAGCACUUUGAAAAGAGAGUUAAACAGCACGUGAAAUUGUUGAAAGGGAAGCGCUUGCGACCAGACUCGCCCUCGGGGUUCAGCCGGCACUCGUGCCGGUGUACUUCCCCGGGGGCGGGCCAGCGUCAGCUUGGGCGGCCGGUCAAAGGCCUCCGGAAUGUAGUGCCCCCCGGGGCACCUUAUAGCCGGAGGUGCAAUGCGGCCA
rnacentral:ncRNA from 1 species